rnacentral:rRNA from 1 species
UACGUAGGGUCCGAGCGUUGUCCGGAAUUAUUGGGCGUAAAGGGCUCGUAGGCGGUUUGUCGCGUCGGGAGUGAAAUCUUACAGCUUAACUGUGAACUUGCUUCCGAUACGGGCAGACUUGAGGCAUUCAGGGGAGAACGGAAUUCCUGGUGUAGCGGUGAAAUGCGCAGAUAUCAGGAGGAACACCGGUGGCGAAGGCGGCAUCCUGGACCGACAUUGACGCUGAGGAGCGAAAGCUAGGGGAGCAAACGGG